GGGCGGUUAGCUCAGUGGUAGAGCGUCGGUUUUACACACCGUUGGUCGGGGGUUCGAAUCCCUCACCGCCCA
rnacentral:tRNA from 1 species